rnacentral:rRNA from 1 species
UACGGAGGGAGCUAGCGUUGUUCGGAAUUACUGGGCGUAAAGCGCGCGUAGGCGGCUUUGUAAGUUAGAGGUGAAAGCCCGGGGCUCAACCCCGGAACUGCCUUUAAAACUGCAUCGCUUGAAUCCGGGAGAGGUGAGUGGAAUUCCGAGUGUAGAGGUGAAAUUCGUAGAUAUUCGGAAGAACACCAGUGGCGAAGGCGACUCACUGGACAUGUAUUGACGCUGAGGUGCGAAAGCGUGGGGAGCAAACAGG